rnacentral:rRNA from 1 species
AGCGUUCUGUAAGCCUGUGAAGGUGUGCUGUGAGGCAUGCUGGAGGUAUCAGAAGUGCGAAUGCUGACAUAAGUAACGAUAAAGCGGGUGAAAAGCCCGCUCGCCGGAAGACCAAGGGUUCCUGUCCAACGUUAAUCGGGGCAGGGUGAGUCGACCCCUAAGGCGAGGCCGAAAGGCGUAGUCGAUGGGAAACAGGUUAAUAUUCCUGUACUUGGUGUUACUGCGAAGGGGGGACGGAGAAGGCUAUGUUGGCCGGGCGACGGUUGUCCCGGUUUAAGCGUGUAGGCUGGUUUUCCAGGCAAAUCCGGAAAAUCAAGGCUGAGGCGUGAUGACGAGGCACUACGGUGCUGAAGCAACAAAUGCCCUGCUUCCAGGAAAAGCCUCUAAGCAUCAGGUAACAUCAAAUCGUACCCCAAACCGACACAGGUGGUCAGGUAGAGAAUACCAAGGCGCUUGAGAGAACUCGGGUGAAGGAACUAGGCAAAAUGGUGCCGUAACUUCGGGAGAAGGCACGCUGAUAUGUAGGUGAAGUCCCUCGCGGAUGGAGCUGAAAUCAGUCGAAGAUACCAGCUGGCUGCAACUGUUUAUUAAAAACACAGCACUGUGCAAACACGAAAGUGGACGUAUACGGUGUGACGCCUGCCCGGUGCCGGAAGGUUAAUUGAUGGGGUCAGCGCAAGCGAAGCUCUUGAUCGAAGCCCCGGUAAACGGCGGCCGUAACUAUAACGGUCCUAAGGUAGCGAAAUUCCUUGUCGGGUAAGUUCCGACCUGCACGAAUGGCGUAAUGAUGGCCAGGCUGUCUCCACCCGAGACUCAGUGAAAUUGAACUCGCUGUGAAGAUGCAGUGUACCCGCGGCAAGACGGAAAGACCCCGUGAACCUUUACUAUAGCUUGACACUGAACAUUGAGCCUUGAUGUGUAGGAUAGGUGGGAGGCUUAGAAGUGUGGACGCCAGUCUGCAUGGAGCCGACCUUGAAAUACCACCCUUUAAUGUUUGAUGUUCUAACGUUGACCCGUAAUCCGGGUUGCGGACAGUGUCUGGUGGGUAGUUUGACUGGGGCGGUCUCCUCCUAAAGAGUAACGGAGGAGCACGAAGGUUGGCUAAUCCUGGUCGGACAUCAGGAGGUUAGUGCAAUGGCAUAAGCCAGCUUGACUGCGAGCGUGACGGCGCGAGCAGGUGCGAAAGCAGGUCAUAGUGAUCCGGUGGUUCUGAAUGGAAGGGCCAUCGCUCAACGGAUAAAAGGUACUCCGGGGAUAACAGGCUGAUACCGCCCAAGAGUUCAUAUCGACGGCGGUGUUUGGCACCUCGAUGUCGGCUCAUCACAUCCUGGGGCUGAAGUAGGUCCCAAGGGUAUGGCUGUUCGCCAUUUAAAGUGGUACGCGAGCUGGGUUUAGAACGUCGUGAGACAGUUCGGUCCCUAUCUGCCGUGGGCGCUGGAGAACUGAGGGGGGCUGCUCCUAGUACGAGAGGACCGGAGUGGACGCAUCACUGGUGUUCGGGUUGUCAUGCCAAUGGCACUGCCCGGUAGCUAAAUGCGGAAGAGAUAAGUGCUGAAAGCAUCUAAGCACGAAACUUGCCCCGAGAUGAGUUCUCCCUGACCCUUUAAGGGUCCUGAAGGAACGUUGAAGACGACGACGUUGAUAGGCCGGGUGUGUAAGCGCAGCGAUGCGUUGAGCUAACCGGUACUAAUGAACCGUGAGGCUUAACC